rnacentral:rRNA from 1 species
GAUGAACGCUGGCGGCGUGCCUAAUACAUGCAAGUCGAGCGAACGGACGAGAAGCUUGCUUUUCUGAUGUUAGCGGCGGACGGGUGAGUAACACGUGGAUAACCUACCUAUAAGACUGGGAUAACUUCGGGAAACCGGAGCUAAUACCGGAUAAUAUUUUGAACCGCAUGGUUCAAAAGUGAAAGACGGUCUUGCUGUCUCUUAUAGAUGGAUCCGCGCUGCAUUAGCUAGUUGGUAAGGUAACGGCUUACCAAGGCAACGAUGCAUAGCCGACCUGAGAGGGUGAUCGGCCACACUGGAACUGAGACACGGUCCAGACUCCUACGGGAGGCAGCAGUAGGGAAUCUUCCGCAAUGGGCGAAAGCCUGACGGAGCAACGCCGCGUGAGUGAUGAAGGUCUUCGGAUCGUAAAACUCUGUUAUUAGGGAAGAACAUAUGUGUAAGUAACUGUGCACAUCUUGACGGUACCUAAUCAGAAAGCCACGGCUAACUACGUG